rnacentral:rRNA from 1 species
CCCUUAGAUGUUCUGGGCUGCACGCGCGCUACACUGAUGCACUCAACGAGUUUACGACCUUGCCCGAUAGGGUUGGGUAAUCUUUUUAAAAUGCAUCGUGAUGGGGAUAGAUUAUUGCAAUUAUUAAUCUUCAACGAGGAAUUCCUAGUAAACGCAGAUCAUCAAUCUGCAUUGAUUACGUCCCUGCCCUUUGUACACACCGCCCGUCGCACCUACCGAUUGGAUGGUCCGGUGAAGCCUCGGGAUUGUGGUUCUUGCCGCUUUAUUGUAGCGUGACCGCGAGAACUUGUCUAAACCUUACCAUCUAGAGGAAGGUGAAGUCGUAACA